rnacentral:rRNA from 1 species
GACGAACGCUGGCGGCGUGCUUAACACAUGCAAGUCGAACGGAAAGGCCCUGCUUUUGUGGGUUUCUCGUUUGCCGCACGCGUGUGUAACACCUGAGUAACCUCCCCUUUUCUUUCUGAUAUCUUCUGGAAACUCCGGCUAAUACCCGAUAUGAUCUCCUGCUCCUUGUUGGUCGUUGGUAAGUUUCGGCGGUUGUGGAUGUAGUGGCUGCUUAUCAGCUUGUUUGUGGGGUUGUUGCUUACCAAGGCUUUGACGGGUAGCCGGCCUGUGAGGGUGACCGGGCACAAUGGGACUGAGAGAGGGACCAGACUGCAACGGGAGGCAGCAGUGGGGAAUAUUGCACAAUGGGCGGAAGCCUGAUGCAGAAACGCCGGGUGCGGGAUGACGGGCUUCGGGUUGUAAACAGAUUUCGACUGUGACGAAGAGUGAGUGACGGUAAUGGGUAAAGAAGCACCGGCUAACUACGUG